rnacentral:rRNA from 1 species
CGGGCUUGAACUGCAGCGGAAGGAUACAGAGAUGUUGACGCCCUUCGGGGCCGCUGUGGAGGUGCUGCAUGGUUGUCGUCAGCUCGUGCCGUGAGGUGUCGGCUUAAGUGCCAUAACGAGCGCAACCCUCGUCUUUAGUUGCCAUCAGGUUAUGCUGGGCACUCUGGAGAUACUGCCACCGCAAGGUGUGAGGAAGGUGGGGAUGACGUCAAAUCAGCACGGCCCUUACGUCCGGGGCUACACACGUGUUACAAUGGCGUGUACAGAGAGCCGGCCGCAGGCGACUGCGGUCCAAUCCUUAAAACACGUCUCAGUUCGGAUUGGGGUCUGCAACCCGACCCCAUGAAGCUGGAUUCGCUAGUAAUCGCGCAUCAGCCAUGGCGCGGUGAAUACGUUCCCGGGCC